rnacentral:rRNA from 1 species
CACGUAGGGGGCGAGCGUUGUCCGGAUUUAUUGGGCGUAAGGAGCUCGUAGGCGGCUAAGUAAGUCAGGGGUGAAAUCCCAGAGCUCAACUCUGGAACUGCCUUUGAUACUGGGUGUCUUGAGUAUGGAAGAGGUGAGUGGAAUUCCGAGUGUAGAGGUGAAAUUCGUAGAUAUUCGGAGGAACACCAGUGGCGAAGGCGGCUCACUGGACGCGUAUUGACGCUGAGGUACGAAAGCGUGGGGAGCAAACAGG